rnacentral:rRNA from 1 species
CGCGCAGGCGGCCUGUCAAGUCAGAUGUGAAAGCCCGGGGCUCAACCCCGGAAGUGCAUUUGAUACUGUAGGGCUUGAGUAUGGGAGAGGGAAGUGGAAUUCCUGGUGUAGAGGUGAAAUUCGUAGAUAUCAGGAGGAACACCGGUGGCGAAGGCGACUUCCUGGACCAAUACUGACGCUGAGGCGCGAAGGCGUGGGGAGCAAAC